CAAUGGCCUUGCAUGGAGGCUCAAGUGUGUUCCGUGUACUCUGGUCUCUGUUUGUUAUGCCUGGAGUGGGUGGUGACGUCAGAGGCAUGCGACAGAGUAAACAGCUGUUCUGUGUUGGCGAGAUCUUAGAAAGCCCCUUAAAAAGAUCUUAAACAAUGUGUUUACUGUCUGCACACAAAAUAGAAACUAUUUGGAGCAAAUUUGGUGCAUUAAGUCUCUAUGUUGCAUUUUGGAACUUUUGUGCAGUCAAGCGCACUUUGUGGCUCAAAAAGGAAGGCGAGAAGGAAGGAGGAGCGCCCUCUCGGACUCUAAAGCAGUACUGCAGGCCACACCACACCUGCGCCCGCUUAUUUUAAUAAACUUGGCGCAUGACCUGGUUCCCUCUGAAGUGAGGUGCUCCAGUAAUUAGAUGUGGCUCAAGAGUCAAAUCAUGGAGAGUUUACGUCUGCUUUUUGGAGACGGGUUAGAUUUUUUCCAACUGACCCCGACCCUCAACGACCUGUCAAAACGAAAUCAAAUGCUGCGAGGCUACUUCCUGUUUCCUGGAUGUCGCAAGACUCAUUUAAGGUGGCGUAUUGUGUUUUUUUUUAAUCUAUUUUUUUGGGUGAGGGGGGACGGGGGCAGACUUGGUUGAGCGCGACCUCCUCCAAGACUCGAACGUUGACUGUCCA